rnacentral:rRNA from 1 species
AAUGAACGCAGGCGGCAGGCCUAACACAUGCAAGUCGAGCGAGCGGCGGACGGGGGAGUAAUGUAUGGGGACUGCCCGAUAGAGGGGGAUAAAUACUGGAAACGGUAGCUAAUACCGCAUGCUAUCGGAUAACCCAUAUGGGAUUAGCUAGUAGGUGAGGUAAUGGCUCACCUAGGCGACGAUCCCUAGCUGGUCUGAGAGGAUGAUCAGCAAAACUGGGCAGGAGACACGGCCCGGAUACGUACAGAGGCAGUAGUGUGGAAGAUUGAAAAAUGGGUACAAGCCGGAUGCUGCGAUGCUGCGUGUAUAAAGAAAGACCUAGGGUUGUAAAGUACUUUCAGGCGGCAGGCGUUACCGACGGAGGAACCACCGGCUAACUCCGCGCCAGCCGCCGCGGUAAUUC